UACGUAGGGGUGCAAGCGUUGUCCGGAAUUAUUGGGCGUAAAGAGCUCGUAGGCGGUCUGUCGCGUCGGAUGUGAAAACCCAGGGCUCAACCCUGGGCCUGCAUUCGAUACGGGCAGACUAGAGUUCGGUAGGGGAGACUGGAAUUCCUGGUGUAGCGGUGAAAUGCGCAGAUAUCAGGAGGAACACCGGUGGCGAAGGCGGGUCUCUGGGCCGAUACUGACGCUGAGGAGCGAAAGCGUGGGGGAGCGAACAGG
rnacentral:rRNA from 1 species